UUGGGUAUUUUUCAGUUAGGCCAGCUUACUUCGUGAAAUGGAAUCACCAACAUGGGAGGGAACUUCAGAGUACCAAUGGAAUGGGACGAUCCACACUUAAUCAUGUUUGGUGUAAUAUUUUGAAGCUAUAAUGCCCAGCAAAUGUUAAUUUUUUUUCUUUGGCAUACGUUGCCUUUAUGUCGUGUGUUGCGCUUGUCAAUAGAUAUUUGAAAGUUUCACCCCC
rnacentral:lncRNA from 1 species